ACGAUGUGGGAAGGCCCAGACAGCCAGGAUGUUGGCUUAGAAGCAGCCAUCAUUUAAAGAAAGCGUAAUAGCUCACUGGUCGAGUCGGCCUGCGCGGAAGAUGUAACGGGGCUAAACCAUGCACCGAAGCUGCGGCAGCGACGCUUAUGCGUUGUUGGGUAGGGGAGCGUUCUGUAAGCCUGCGAAGGUGUGCUGUGAGGCAUGCUGGAGGUAUCAGAAGUGCGAAUGCUGACAUAAGUAACGAUAAAGCGGGUGAAAAGCCCGCUCGCCGGAAGACCAAGGGUUCCUGUCCAACGUUAAUCGGGGCAGGGUGAGUCGACCCCUAAGGCGAGGCCGAAAGGCGUAGUCGAUGGGAAACAGGUUAAUAUUCCUGUACUUGGUGUUACUGCGAAGGGGGGACGGAGAAGGCUAUGUUGGCCGGGCGACGGUUGUCCCGGUUUAAGCGUGUAGGCUGGUUUUCCAGGCAAAUCCGGAAAAUCAAGGCUGAGGCGUGAUGACGAGGCACUACGGUGCUGAAGCAACAAAUGCCCUGCUUCCAGGAAAAGCCUCUAAGCAUCAGGUAACAUCAAAUCGUACCCCAAACCGACACAGGUGGUCAGGUAGAGAAUACCAAGGCGCUUGAGAGAACUCGGGUGAAGGAACUAGGCAAAAUGGUGCCGUAACUUCGGGAGAAGGCACGCUGAUAUGUAGGUGAAGCGACUUGCUCGUGGAGCUGAAAUCAGUCGAAGAUACCAGCUGGCUGCAACUGUUUAUUAAAAACACAGCACUGUGCAAACACGAAAGUGGACGUAUACGGUGUGACGCCUGCCCGGUGCCGGAAGGUUAAUUGAUGGGGUCAGCGCAAGCGAAGCUCUUGAUCGAAGCCCCGGUAAACGGCGGCCGUAACUAUAACGGUCCUAAGGUAGCGAAAUUCCUUGUCGGGUAAGUUCCGACCUGCACGAAUGGCGUAAUGAUGGCCAGGCUGUCUCCACCCGAGACUCAGUGAAAUUGAACUCGCUGUGAAGAUGCAGUGUACCCGCGGCAAGACGGAAAGACCCCGUGAACCUUUACUAUAGCUUGACACUGAACAUUGAGCCUUGAUGUGUAGGAUAGGUGGGAGGCUUUGAAGUGUGGACGCCAGUCUGCAUGGAGCCGACCUUGAAAUACCACCCUUUAAUGUUUGAUGUUCUAACGUUGACCCGUAAUCCGGGUUGCGGACAGUGUCUGGUGGGUAGUUUGACUGGGGCGGUCUCCUCCUAAAGAGUAACGGAGGAGCACGAAGGUUGGCUAAUCCUGGUCGGACAUCAGGAGGUUAGUGCAAUGGCAUAAGCCAGCUUGACUGCGAGCGUGACGGCGCGAGCAGGUGCGAAAGCAGGUCAUAGUGAUCCGGUGGUUCUGAAUGGAAGGGCCAUCGCUCAACGGAUAAAAGGUACUCCGGGGAUAACAGGCUGAUACCGCCCAAGAGUUCAUAUCGACGGCGGUGUUUGGCACCUCGAUGUCGGCUCAUCACAUCCUGGGGCUGAAGUAGGUCCCAAGGGUAUGGCUGUUCGCCAUUUAAAGUGGUACGCGAGCUGGGUUUAGAACGUCGUGAGACAGUUCGGUCCCUAUCUGCCGUGGGCGCUGGAGAACUGAGGGGGGCUGCUCCUAGUACGAGAGGACCGGAGUGGACGCAUCACUGGUGUUCGGGUUGUCAUGCCAAUGGCACUGCCCGGUAGCUAAAUGCGGAAGAGAUAAGUGCUGAAAGCAUCUAAGCACGAAACUUGCCCCGAGAUGAGUUCUCCCUGACUCCUUGAGAGUCCUGAAGGAACGUUGAAGACGACGACGUUGAUAGGCCGGGUGUGUAAGCGCAGCGAUGCGUUGAGCUAACCGGUACUAAUGAACCGUGAGGCUUAACCUU
rnacentral:rRNA from 1 species